UGUACUCAGGUGAAUAAUAUGUUUGCGAUGUUACUCUGAGUGCAUAUCCCACCGCGGCUGGGCAUAUUGUUCAAGCUCGCCCGGUGUGGAUAUGCACUCAGAGUAACAUCGCAAACAUAUUAUUCACCUGAGUACA